UUAAAUGUUCAUCAGUAUCGUAGCCAAUGAGGUUAAUCCGAGGCGCGAUUAUUGCUAAUUGAAAACUUUACUUCAACUGGAUGAAUGUUAAGUCUCCAGUCUCUACUAGCAUUGACUCUUGCUAUUUUUUAAAACUUUAAAAAAAG